UAUGGCCAUAGCACCCUGAACGUGCCCAGUCUUGUCUGAUCUUGGAAGCUAAGUAGAGUCAGGCCUGGUUAGUACUUGAAUGGGUGAAUAACUUAAGAUGCAUACAUAU
rnacentral:rRNA from 1 species